GGUAAUACGGGAGUGGCAAGCGUUAUCCGGAAUUAUUGGGCGUAAAGCGUCCGCAGGCGGCCUUGUAAGUCUGUCGUUAAAGCGUGGAGCUUAACUCCAUUUGAGCGAUGGAAACUACAAGGCUUGAGUGUGGUAGGGGCAGAGGGAAUUCCCGGUGUAGCGGUGAAAUGCGUAGAUAUCGGGAAGAACACCAGUGGCGAAGGCGCUCUGCUGGGCCAUAACUGACGCUCAUGGACGAAAGCCAGGGGAGCGAAAGGGAUUAGAUACCCCUGUAGUCCUGGCCGUAAACGAUGAACACUAGGUGUCGGGGGAAUCGACCCCCUCGGUGUCGUAGCUAACGCGUUAAGUGUUCCGCCUGGGGAGUACGCACGCAAGUGUUGAAACUCAAAGGAAUUGACGGGGGCCCCGCACAAGCGGUGGAGUAUGUGGUUUAAUUCGAUGCAACGC
rnacentral:rRNA from 1 species